AUCCCUCUUUCUGGUGUUUUGUGGUGAGCCCAGCAUAAGGCUUCUCCACCUGCUCUUCUCUCUGAAAACAGGCUACAAAACACUGUCUAGCAUCAGCUUUACUGGGGACCACAUGGAGAUACCAGCACUUCACAGCCAUGCACUUCCACAAAUCCACUCAGAUCCUCUGGAGGGUUUGAAUGGAAGACUGAAGUUGAUGCACGCAUAUGCUGGAGGAAGGCUGUGUGAGGAUCUGCAGAUUAACUAGAGGAAGAAAAGCUGUUCUCUCAGGAGUUUCAAUCCAAUUUUUCACGUUAGAGUUGUGAAGAACUCCAGACACAUUAAAAAAAUAUUGAUACUGUCUUGUUAACUUCUGGAUGUUUGGGUUUCUAAUGGAUCGUCUGCACGGCAGAUGCAGAACUUAUUACUGGUCUGGGUAGUGUUUUCUACUGAGUUUCAGGUCAGAGCAACUGACUGAAUCACAAUGAGUUUAUUCCUGCUUUCUUUGACACAGCAGUCUUAAUCUUCAUCUGAGUAACAACUGUUCCACUUGAGCAUACUGAAAUAGUGAAGUAAAGAGGCUGGCAUGGUUUUGGCUGUUUGGGGCAGCCAGCACUGAUUCUCACUCCUGCUUUCUCCUGCCUUUGUAAGCUUACUCCAGGGCCAUUUCAGCGUGCAUCAAUAGCAGUGCUGUGAUUGAGUUGUGAAACACUGGAAGCAGUAUUUUGUGGCAAUAAGGUAGGAGCUUAUCAGGGACAUCUGAACACAGAAUCUUUUCAAGAUACCAAAUGACCCGCAUUUAACCUCACUAUGAUAUUUUAUUAAGACAGAAGAAGAGAGACUGGUUUUCAUGUUCUGGGAAACUGAUGAGAAUUUUAAAUUCAAUGCGCACUCCCAAACCAGAUCAAACAGUCAAUACAGAAAAUUUUCUCAAAUUUGUCAUCAUUAAUAAUAGGAAAGAAUGGGAUUUGCUAAAAUAUUUCAUUUUGUUUGAACAUGGUAUAAUUCUAUUUUUUUCUUUACAAUUUGAAUUAUUUUGCCUAAAUAAAUGUCACUGCAGCACAAAAUGUUUGGUUUUUUUGUUUGUUUUGAAAUAGAAUUCAUUUCAAUGAAUAAAACCAAAUCUUGAACAAUAAGCUAAUUAAAAUUAGUCCUUUUUCACAGAUGUAUUUGACUCCUCUAAGUAAAAAAUUUUGAUUAAAAAAAUUUAAUUUUCUUUUUCAGUAAAACUCAGUUUGUCACAUCUGGAAUAUUCUUUUGCAAAUAUCAGAUUUUCAUCAAGAUUAAAUUUGUUAUUUUUCAUUUGCUUAAAUGUCUUAACAACUGCUAUAGGUUCAGUGGUUUCAAGUCAUUAUAGGAAUGGGUCCUUGAGAAUAAUUUUCCUUCUUUUUUUUUUAUAAGCUUUUAUAGAUAUGUUUAAACCAGACAGAGUAGGAAAUGUGUAGCCAAUGUGUUUCACGACCACGCUGGUUUCACUACUAUUGCAUUUGAUCAGGCUAGUUUAUUCAUUUCAGUUACCCUUUUGAAGGUCAAAAAACAGCAGUUCUCAAUGUAUUUUUUCCUGGUUGCUAACCUACACCCUCCCCAUAUCAACGGGUCAAAUAAAGAGAUUAACCAUUCAUAAACAAAAUAGUGAUGUAUUAUAAUCACAGAAAGAGAAUGAAGUUGCUACUUCCUGUAAAUGUAAAGGGAUGUGCUUUUCAAUAAAGUGAAGGGGGAAAUGGCACCAUUCCCAGUUUUUCAAUGCAGUAAUGUGUAAGGAUCCAUUUAUCACCUCAGUGACAGAAGUUCUGGAGCUCCUGUCAUUAAUGCUGAAGCAAAACACAUUUUAAUGUCAUGUCAAUAAAUCACUUGCCAACUAGAGGGUUGGAGGGUUUUACAGUUGUUAAUCUGGAUGGUCUGGGAAUAGAAUUUAUGCACCAUUUUCAUUCAUUGCUAUGUCCAAAAUAAAUCCAAAUUAGUGCUAUCAGUGAACAAAAGAGCCUCAGUUUCAAAGAUGGUUAAACAUGCAGAAUAUAUUUAAAGUAAUUUUAU